CUACGGGGGGCACCAGUGGGGAAUAUUGGACAAUGGGCGCAAGCCUGAUCCAGCAAUGCCGCGUGAGUGAAGACGGCCUUAGGGUUGUAAAACUCUUUCGCUAGGGAAGAUAAUGACUGUACCUAGUAAAGAAGUCCCGGCUAACUCCGUGCCAGCAGCCGCGGUAAUACGGAGGGGACUAGCGUUGUUCGGAAUUACUGGGCGUAAAGAGUUCGUAGGCGGACUGACAAGUUAGAGGUGAAAUCCCAGGGCCCAACCCUGGAACUGCCUUUAAAACUGUCAGUCUAGAGACCGGAUGAGGUUAGGGGAAUACCUAGUGUAGAGGUGAAAUUCGUAGAUAUUAGGUGGAACACCAGUGGCGAAGGCGCCUAACUGGUCCGGUACUGACGCUGAGGAACGAAAGCGUGGGGAGCAAACAGGAUUAGAUACCCGAGUAGUC
rnacentral:rRNA from 1 species